UACGUAGGGACCAAGCGUUGUUCGGAUUUACUGGGCGUAAAGGGCGCGUAGGCGGCAAUUCAAGUCAUCUGUGAAAUCUCCGGGCUUAACUCGGAACGGUCAGAUGAUACUGCUUUGCUAGAGUGCGGAAGGGGCAAUCGGAAUUCUUGGUGUAGCGGUGAAAUGCGUAGAUAUCAAGAGGAACACCUGAGGUGAAGACGGGUGGCUGGGCCGACACUGACGCUGAUGCGCGAAAGCCAGGGGAGCAAACGGG
rnacentral:rRNA from 1 species